CUUGCUAUGGUAUAACUUAGUGGCAGACGGGUGAGUAAUGUAUAGGAAUCUACCUAGUAGUACGGAAUAAUUGUUGGAAACGACAACUAAUACCGUAUACGCCCUACGGGGGAAAAAUUUAUUGCUAUUAGAUGAGCCUAUAUUAGAUUAGCUAGUUGGUAGAGUAAUAGCCUACCAAGGCAAUGAUCUAUAGCUGAUCUGAGAGGAUGAUCAGCCACACUGGAACUGAGAUACGGUCCAGACUCCUACGGGAGGCAGCAGUGGGGAAUAUUGGACAAUGGGCGAAAGCCUGAUCCAGCCAUGCCGCAUGAGUGAAGAAGGCCUUUGGGUUGUAAAGCUCUUUUAGUGAGGAAGAUAAUGACGGUACUCACAGAAGAAGUCCUGGCUAACUCCGUGCCAGCAGCCGCGGUAAUACGGGGAGGGCUAGCGUUAUUCGGAAUUAUUGGGCGUAAAGGGCGCGUAGGCUGGUUAAUAAGUUAAAAGUGAAAUCCCGAGGCUUAACCUUGGAAUUGCUUUUAAAACUAUUAAUCUAGAGAUUGAAAGAGGAUAGAGGAAUUCCUGAUGUAGAGGUAAAAUUCGUAAAUAUUAGGAGGAACACCAGUGGCGAAGGCGUCUAUCUGGUUCAAAUCUGACGCUGAAGCGCGAAGGCGUGGGGAGCAAACAGGAUUAGAUACCCUGGUAGUCCACGCUGUAAACGAUGAAUGUUAAAUAUGGGAAGUUUACUUUCUGUAUUACAGCUAACGCGUUAAACAUUCCGCCUGGGGACUACGGUCGCAAGAUUAAAACUCAAAGGAAUUGACGGGG
rnacentral:rRNA from 1 species